UGGCUCAAGGAGUUAUUUGCAUCUUCU
rnacentral:misc_RNA from 1 species